rnacentral:rRNA from 1 species
CGGAUAACAAAGUUUCGUUGGUUGCGUCUCCUGCUUCGCACAGACAGCUCGCAUAACGUUGCUGGCGAGUGGCGGACGGGUGACUAAUAUAUCGGGAACGUGCCCAGUUGCGGGGGAUAACUACUCGAAAGAGUGGCUAAUACCGUCUACGCCCUACGGGGGAAAGGGGGGGAUCGCAAGACCUCUCACUAUUGGAGCGGCCGAUAUCGGAUUAGCUAGUUGGUGGGGUAAAGGCUCACCAAGGCAACGAUCCGUAGCUGGUUUGAGAGGACGACCAGCCACACUGGGACUGAGACACGGCCCAGACUCCUACGGGAGGCAGCAGUGGGGAAUUUUGGACAAUGGGGGAAACCCUGAUCCAGCCAUCCCGCGUGUAUGAUGAAGGCCUUCGGGUUGUAAAGUACUUUUGGCAGAGAAGAAAAGGUAUCCCCUAAUACGGGAUACUGCUGACGGUAUCUGCAGAAUAAGCACCGGCUAACUACGUGCCAGCAGCCGCGGUAAUACGUAGGGUGCAAGCGUUAAUCGGAAUUACUGGGCGUAAAGCGUGUGUAGGCGGUUCGGAAAGAAAGAUGUGAAAUCCCAGGGCUCAACCUUGGAACUGCAUUUUUAACUGCCGAGCUAGAGUAUGUCAGAGGGGGGUAGAAUUCCACGUGUAGCAGUGAAAUGCGUAGAUAUGUGGAGGAAUACCGAUGGCGAAGGCAGCCCCCUGGGAUAAUACUGACGCUCAGACACGAAAGCGUGGGGAGCAAACAGGAUUAGAUACCCUGGUAGUCCACGCCCUAAACGAUGUCAACUAGCUGUUGGGGCCGUUAGGCCUUAGUAGCGCAGCUAACGCGUGAAGUUGACCGCCUGGGGAGUACGGUCGCAAGAUUUAAAACUCAAAGGAAUUGACGGGGACCCGCACAAGCGGUGGGAUGAUGUUGAUUUAUUUCGAUGCAACGCGAAAAACCUUACCUUACCCUUGACAUGGUCUGGUAAAGUCCGAAAAGAAUUUUGGCCCGUGCUCGCCAAGAGAACCGUAACCACAAUGUUGUCUUGCAAUGGACUUGUCGUCAGCUCCGUGUCAUGAGGAUGUUGGAUCAAGAUCCCGGCAAACGAGGCGCACCCUGUGUCAUUUAGGUUGCUUACGGCAGAACCACUCUCUAAUGAAACUGCCUGCUGACUAUCCUGUACGGUAAAUGCUUGUUGAUAUGAACAG